GCCAGGCAUGGUGGCGGGUGCCUGUAAUUCCAGCUACUUGGGAGGCUGAGGCAGGAGAAUCACUUGAACCCGGGAGGCAGAGGUUGCAGUGAGCCAAGAUCGCACCACUGCACUCCAGCCUGGGUGACAGAGUGAGACCCUGUCUCAA
ensembl:misc_RNA Metazoa_SRP Metazoan signal recognition particle RNA